rnacentral:rRNA from 1 species
CCUACGGGAGGCAGCAGUGGGGAAUAUUGGACAAUGGGCGAAAGCCUGAUCCAGCAAUGCCGCGUGAGUGAUGAAGGCCUUAAGGUUGUAAAGCUCUUUUACCAGGGAUGAUAAUGACAGUACCUGGAGAAUAAGCUCCGGCUAACUCCGUGCCAGCAGCCGCGGUAAUACGGAGGGAGCUAGCGUUGUUCGGAAUUACUGGGCGUAAAGCGUACGUAGGCGGUUAUUCAAGUCAGAGGUGAAAGCCUGGAGCUCAACUCCAGAACUGCCUUUGAAACUAGAUAGCUAGAAUCUUGGAGAGGUGAGUGGAAUUCCGAGUGUAGAGGUGAAAUUCGUAGAUAUUCGGAAGAACACCAGUGGCGAAGGCGACUCACUGGACAAGUAUUGACGCUGAGGUACGAAAGCGUGGGGAGCAAACAGGAUUAGAUACCCUGGUAGUCCACGCCGUAAACGAUGAUAACUAGCUGUUCGGGCUCUACGAGCUUGUAGUGNGCNGCUACGACAUAAGUUAGUACCGUCCGUCGGGAGGUACGGUCGCGAGAAGUUAAACGUUAACGUAAAGUUAAAGUUAGUACGGACGUUGAGACGUUGCCGACGGACGACGACGAGGGAGGUUAGG